rnacentral:lncRNA from 9 species
AUGAACGAUGUUCUGGAUGAGAUUCUGGAAGUGUCUGAUACUGAUGAGCUGCUGCCCCAGAAGCUUCCAAUCAUUAUCAGUGAUGAUGAUGAUGAUGAUAGUGAUUUGGAGUGGCUAAGAGAAGACAAUUCAUGUGAUCAGGGGAAUGUUCCCUCAAGUGAGAAAAAGAGGGAUGGAUUUGCUGUCUUCCAAAGCAAAUCAUCUAAUGAUGUUGGUAAGCAGGAUCUUGGGGAAAAUCUCUGCCAACCACCAAAUGACCAUCCUCAGGCUAAACUAGAGAUUUCAGAUAGAAAAUUGUCAGCUGAUGAAGAGCCUGUACCUGUGGUGGAACAACCAAGGAAAAGGAAAAAUAAGACCAAAAAUAUAUCUGUGACACCUGGUAAGCCAAUCGAAUCAAGUGUGCCAGCUAGGCUUGCUGUGCCCUUUCCCCAAGAUAUGUCUGUCUUGUCGAGUCUGCUUAUCGUGUCUACUAACCCUCCGCCACCGUGUUUCAGUAGUUUCCUAGUGGCCAAGCGAGGCAGCCAUCCCAGUGAAAAGGCUCUUUCUGGGGGUAAGAGAGGGAUGCCCAUGUCUGCCUCGUGCUCCCAGGUCUUAGUAUUUGCCAUUCCAUCCACUGGCAGUGCUUUGUCCCUACACUUUUUUUUGUCCUGAUGAUAUCCCAUUUUUCUUAGGACCCAGCCCAAUUGCCACUUGCUGCAGGAAGCCAUGAGUCUGAGUUGCUCCUCCUUCUGGGGUUCCCAAGGUUCCUAGGCCCUGUCGCUAUUAAAACACAACUGUGUAGGAGUUCCCUGGUGGCCCAGUGGGUUAAGGAUCCUGUGUUAAGAGUUCCUGUUGUGGCUCAGUGGUUAAUGAACCUGACUGGUAUCCAUGAGGAUGUGGGUUUGAUCCCUGGCCUUGAUCAGUGGGUUAAUAAGGAUCUGGUGUUGCUGUGAGCUGUGGUGUAGGUCGCAGACAUGGCUUGGAUCCUGAGUUGCUAUGGCUGUGGCUGUGGCGUAGGAUGGCAGCUACAUCUCCCAUUCGACCCCUAGCCUGGGAACCUCCAUAUGCUGUGGGUAUGGCCCUAAAAAGACACACACACAAAAAAGGAUCCUGUGUUAUCACCGCUGUGGCUUGAGUGGCUGCUGUGGUGUGGGUUUGAUCCCUGGCCUGGGAACUUCUGCAUGCCGUGGGGCCAACCCCUGCUCCCCACAGCUGUGUUAAAUGUUUCUGAAUCUCUUCCCUUAGUAGACUGUGAACCUCUUUUUUUUGGCUGCACCUGCAGCAUGUGGAGGUUGCCAGAUAGGGAUCAAACCUGUACCUGCAGUUGCCUUAACUCACUGUGGCACAAGGGAACUUCUGAUGGUGAGCCUCUUGGUGGGAGGGCUCUCACUCAUUUUUUAGUAUCUCCCAGAGUCUAGCC